CCCUCAGCUUGGAGGUGCAGGAGCUCCAGGCUGCGGUGAGGCCAAUGAAAUUGUUGGGUAGCUGCACUGAGGAAUGCAGUGGGGACUGGGAUUGUGAUCCAGAUGAACGCUGUGUCAGCAAUGGGUGUGGCCACGUCUGUGUUCCAGCCUAAGGACAGAUGAAGAUUUAUCUUAAGGGUCAUCCUUCUCUAAUAAUUUCUCAUCACUUCCUAUCUUCAAAGAUGUGACUGGAACUCCUUGCCCUGGAAGACAGAUGAAAAUGGGGACCUGUGGAUGGAGAUUACAUGUGGUGGGGAAGGAAAAAG